rnacentral:rRNA from 1 species
UCCAGACUCCUACGGGAGGCAGCAGUGGGGGAUAUUGCACAAUGGGGGAAACCCUGAUGCAGCAACGCCGCGUGAGUGAAGAAGUAUUUCGGUAUGUAAAGCUCUCUCAGCAGGGAAGAGAAUGACGGUACCUGACUAAGAAGCCCCGGCUAACUACGUGCCAGCAGCCGCGGUAAUACGUAGGGGGCGAGCGUUAUCCGGAUUUACUGGGUGUAAAGGGAGCGUAGACGGCUGGUCAAGUCUGAAGUGAAAGCCCGGGGCUUAACCCCGGAACGGCUUUGGAAACUGAGCAGCUAGAGUGCUGGAGAGGUAAGCGGAAUUCCUAGUGUAGCGGUGAAAUGCGUAGAUAUUAGGAGGAACACCAGUGGCGAAGGCGGCUUACUGGACAGUAACUGACGUUGAGGCUCGAAAGCGUGGGGAGCAAACAGGAUUAGAUACCCGAGUAA